GACGAACGCUGGCGGCGUGCCUAAUACAUGCAAGUCGAGCGAGACUCUUCGGAGUCUAGCGGCGGACGGGUGAGUAACACGUGGGUAACCUGCCUGUAAGACGGGGAUAACUUCGGGAAACCGAAGCUAAUACCUGAUGAUAAAGAGAAACGCCUGUUUCUUUUUUGAAAGUCGGCCUUUUGCUGACGCUUACAAAGGGGCCCGCGGCGCAUUAGCUAGUUGGUGAGGUAACGGCUCACCAAGGCGACGAUGCGUAGCCGACCUGAGAGGGUGAUCGGCCACACUGGGACUGAGACACGGCCCAGACUCCUACGGGAGGCAGCAGUAGGGAAUCUUCGGCAAUGGACGAAAGUCUGACCGAGCAACGCCGCGUGAGCGAUGAAGGCCUUCGGGUCGUAAAGCUCUGUUGUCAGAGAAGAACAAGUACCGGAGUAACUGCCGGUACCUUGACGGUACCUGACCAGAAAGCCACGGCUAACUACGUGCCAGCAGCCGCGGUAACAC
rnacentral:rRNA from 1 species